UGCGGGGUGGAGCAGUCUGGUAGCUCGACGGGCUCAUAACCCGUAGGUCGCAGGUUCGAAUCCUGCCCCCGCUACCA
rnacentral:tRNA from 1 species